rfam:Frankia symbiont of Datisca glomerata, complete genome.
GGCUCAUCCAGAGGGGCAGAGGGACCGGCCCAGUGAAGCCCCGGCAACCACCCGCAUCAGUGCGUGGCAGGUGCUAAUUCCGUCCCAGGACGCAACCGGCUCCUGGGAAAGAUGAGGA